UGGAAAGUGUGUUAGCCAUGGAGGUGGGA
rnacentral:piRNA from 1 species